rnacentral:rRNA from 1 species
GGGUGAGUAACGCGUGGGUAACCUGCCUCAUACAGGGGGAUAACAGUUAGAAAUGACUGCUAAUACCGCAUAAGCGCACAGUGCUGCAUGGCACAGUGUGAAAAACUCCCGGUGGUAUGAGAUGGACCCGCGUCUGAUUAGCUAGUUGGUGGGGUAACGGCCUACCAAGGCGACGAUCAGUAGCCGGCCUGAGAGGGUGAACGGCCACAUUGGGACUGAGACACGGCCCAAACUCCUACGGGAGGCAGCAUG